CGUCUCGCUCCGGGGUGUGCCACGUGAUCAAUCACGCAGGCGCUGAGAUGGUGAGAAACCGAACCCGUUGAACUUGAUCCGGUUCAUACCGGCGAAAGAAGAGCUGUCCCGUCUGGC
rnacentral:ncRNA from 2 species